rnacentral:rRNA from 1 species
UGCCAGCAGCCGCGGUAACACGUAGGGCGCAAGCGUUGUCCGGAAUUAUUGGGCGUAAAGAGCUCGUAGGUGGUUUGCUACGUCCGCUGUGAAAACUCAGGGCUUAACCCUGAGCUGGCAGUGGAUACGGGCAGACUAGAGGUAGGUAGGGGAGAAUGGAAUUCCUGGUGUAGCGGUGAAAUGCGCAGAUAUCAGGAGGAACACCGGUGGCGAAGGCGGUUCUCUGGGCCUUACCUGACACUGAGGAGCGAAAGCGUGGGGAGCGAACAGGAUUAGAUACCCUGGUAGUCCACGCCGUAAACGUUGGGCGCUAGGUGUGGGGUCCUUCCACGGAUUCCGUGCCGCAGCUAACGCAUUAAGCGCCCCGCCUGGGGAGUACGGCCGCAAGGCUAAACUCAAAGAAUA